rnacentral:rRNA from 1 species
CGGGGGAGCAAGCGUUGUUCGGAUUUACUGGGCGUAAAGGGCGCGUAGGCGGCCACUGCAAGUCAGUUGUGAAAUCUCCGGGCUUAACUCGGAAAGGUCAAUUGAUACUGCAGGGCUAGAGUGCAGAAGGGGCAACUGGGAAUUCUCGGUGUAGCGGUGAAAUGCGUAGAUAUCGAGAGGAACACCUGCGGCGAAGGCGGGUUGCUGGGCUGACACUGACGCUGCAGCGCGAAAGCCAGGGGAGCGGAACGGGAUUAGAUACCCCGUUAGUCCACGCCGUAAACGAUGGAUGCUAGCUGUUAUGCGUAUCGACCCGCGUAGUAGCGAAGCUAACGCGUUAAGCAUCCCGCCUGUGGAGUACGAGCGCAAGCUUA